UUCUUGAUUCAAUUAAAAAAAAAUCUACAUUUUCCUUCCCCAGCAAUAAUGUAACCAGGAACUCAGAUGAGGAUGAUUCCCCUGGUCUGCUUCAGGAGGAUUCCUCAUCUUCAUUUAAGGAGACGUUGACCACAUGCAAAGGGCCACUGUGACCUUUCAUUGCUUCACUUACGAAUAUUCACUUCAUUUAAAGAGAUCUCCCUUAAGACUACAGACCACAUAAAAAAUGUCUUGCACAGCCUGCCUAGAGCCCCUUUCCAUGUGUAAUCAACACAUCAACUCUUUUGCAGAUGGUGAUAAAUUCAAAUUCAGACUCCAUUAAACCUGAGUAGAGAAACCCAGCAGGUGGCUACACUAAUGGAAAAUCCUGGCCUUGGAAUAAUGGGAAUUGCAACCGACAGCUCCUCUAUACCACAAAAAAGAUGAUGUAUUCCU
rnacentral:lncRNA from 1 species